GUUCCAAUAGCUCAGUUGGUUAGAGCGUCGUACUUAUAAUGCGAAGGUCACGGGUUCAAGCCCCGUUUGGAACA
rnacentral:tRNA from 1 species